CCCACAUUCAAGUAUUUCUCUGGAUCACAGACCUACAACUGGAAUCUCUUAUUCACUAAAGUAUUCAGACCCUUCGCUGUGGAUCCACGCUGUGUUCAGUUGUACUCUGAAGUCAGAAUUUCUGAGUUCCUAGUCAACCUGAACGCACCCUGAAAUCAGAUUUCAAACUCAGAAAGUUGGAGAAACCCCACCAACCCCAACUUAAGAAUCCAAGGUGGCUGCUCCUCACAUCAGUUCACUGAAAAACAAAGGUAUCUGUUGCUCCUGUCCUCUUCAUCUGACAUGUUCUUCUGGUGGAGCAGAUUUGUUUUGAUUCUUCUAAAGAGCAACAACAACAACAGUCUUUUCUGUGAGUGUCCAUGUUUUUCAGACUUCUCAACAGGAACGCCGUCACCUCAGAAGUGACGUCACUCCCAGCUCUGACCUCCAAUGUAAAUGGAAGGCACCAUUGUUCACAGUGAGGAAGGAUGGAGCAGGAGAUCGUCAGGUGAAUCGGUGUAGCAUCAGCAGUGUGCACAUUGUUUCGGAUCAUUGUGGUGAAGAGGGAGCUGAGCCUGAAGGCAAAGCUUUCGAUUUAUCCAUUGAUCUGCAUUCGGACACUCACCUGUGGUCAUGAGACCUGAAAGAGCAAGAUUGUGGACACAAGCGGCUGAAAUGAGUUUCUGGGCUCAGCCUCAGAGACAGGGUGAGGAGCUCGGAGUAAAGCCACUGCUCCUUGGUGUUGAAAGGAGCCAGUUGAGGUUGUUUGGGCAUCUGAUCAGGAUCCUCCUGGGAACCUUCCUUUGGAGGUUUUCUAGAACUCUCUGGAUGGAUUGUCUGACCAUCUGACCGGGGAACACCCCAGGAUCCUCCAGGAGGAGCUGGAAAAUGUUGCUGGGGAGAGGGAUGUCUGCCAGAUUAACCCAAUUAACCUGCUGUGACCAUGAUCUGACCCUGGAUAAGCAGAAGAAAAUGGACAGAUGGGUUAAUGCGAGUAACUGGUCUGAUCAGUCCCUCUCAUUCUGUGUUUUUUCAAACUCAAACCAUUAAGACCAAGGAACUUUGUGGCAAGGCUUAGAUCAGGGUCAAGGUCUAAAACCAUUUCUAAAGAUAUGAGUGUUCCCUGGACUCAAUAACUGUAGAGUGGAAGAAGUCUGGAACCAUCAGGACUCUUCUAGAGUGUCUGAGUAACCAGUCAUCAAAGGUCUUGGUCAGGGAGGUGAAGUAAAUGUGUGACAACUAAAUAAUACAUAUAUACAUACUAUAAAUACAGUUCAUCCUGGAGGGAACAUGAAUAUCUGAAUAUAUUUUACAAAAAGCUAAAAAUGUGAACCUCAUGGUGGCGCUACAGGAACGUUGAGAUCUAAUUAAGUAUUGUUUUUGAAUUUAAAGAGUCCUUUGGUUUUGUAAAAGGAGAUUUAAAUCAAAUUUAAGAUUAUUAUUAUUAAAUGAAGCUGAGUUUUAACAGGUUCAAAAUGUCGUGUGUUUCAAAACCAAACAGCUGUGAGUGACUGUGUGUCUGUUGUUCAGUGCAGAUCUAUAAAUAUCCGGCUACAUGACAUUUACAGUCAACACAAUGUAAAGACAUUUACGACAUGUGUGCUCACCUCCUUUAAAUACAUGUGCACACACUGAUGGUAUAUUUAACCUUCACAACUACAAACAGAAGCUGCAGCAGGAAGAGUCGAAGAAAGUUUAAACAAAAUUAUUUUAAACGUCUUGAGAAUCGCAGGGAUUAGAAAUAAUGUGACAAAGAUAAUUGUGAUAUAAGAUUUAACAUUACCUGAUGAUCGUAAUGUUUCUUUAAAUGUUGUGUUUUAGGUCUCGAAAAUUCUGAUACACUGAAGUGUUAUGAGUUUAUUUGAGUGUUCAAGCCCCAUAAAAUGAGCAGAGAAUAUUCAUCAUAUUUUGAAAGAGUUUCUUAAUUAAAUUUAAAUGUAAUUAAAUAAAAUGCAGGAUAAUAUAAUUCAAAUAUUACUGUUGAAUGUUGAAUGUGAAAUGACAUUUAUAUGGAAGCCCCGAAAGGCAAGAGAUAUUUCUUUUAAAUUUCAUUUAUUUAUUUGUUAUCAAUGAAAACUGGUGAUUUUUUUUCACCUAUAUUUAACCUUUAUAACCUGCCCUGUCUUGCAGACAGUCUCUGCAAAUUAAAGUACAUUUUUAGCCAAAAGAAAAGACUUUCAUGUUACAUAAGUUGCUAACACACACAGUGUGUACAUCCUCUGUUACCUGGAAGAAAACAUCAGUUUAGUGCUUUUAGUCUGAUCUACUCAGGGGUAUCGGUGGAUGUAGAUCAACCCCUUGUGGCCAAAAUGAGAAUUACAAGACAAACACUUCAAAGUAUCCUGACAAAAAAUCUCUCUUACCUUUCAGAGCUUCCCUACAUUAACUGUAAACAGACUAAUAACAUGGUAACGACGGUAAAAUGAUAUUUUAUCUGUUUCACCCUCAGCUCAUUGAAAAGUUUAAUGAGUAGCAGCUUGUGAUGAAGCUUCUUCAGUCCUGGUGUAGUUCUACUGCUGCUCCACAUGAGGGCGCCACCACACAGACAAACACAGAGUCUACUAUGCUCAGAAACUUCCACAGUGUAACUAUAAAAGUGGAAAAUAACGCAGACAUUUUAAUUUUGUCCUGUCAUAUAACAUCGUGUCAAUGUGAACUCGUUAUCUCUCAGUUGUGUUUCCUAACUCCUCAUCUGUUGUUUUUCAUAUGAUGCAGAUGAAAAUAAAUCUUCAGCCAAGAGUGCUUUUCAUAAAAAUAAAAAGUAUCUGCUGUAACGAGGACACACA